UAACACGGGGGGAGCAAGCGUUGUCCGGAAUUACUAGGCGUAAAGGGCAAGUAGGCGGAACAAUUAGUCAGGUGUUAAAGGCGUCGGCUCAACCGGCGUACGGCAUUUGAUACUGUUGUUCUAGAGUAAGGUGGGGGAAGACGGAAUUCCUGGUGUAGCGGUGGAAUGCGGAGAUAUCAGGAAGAACACCGGUGGCGAAGGCGGUCUUCUAUACCAUUACUGACGCUCAAUUGCGAAGGUGUGGGUAUCGAACAGGAUUAGAUACCCUGGUAGUCCACACAGUAAACGAUAUGUACUAGGUGUUGGGGGAGAUGAUCUUUCAGUGCCGCAGCUAACGCGUUAAGUACAUCGCCUGGGGAGUACGAUCGCAAGGUUA
rnacentral:rRNA from 1 species